rnacentral:rRNA from 1 species
ACGGGUGAGUAAUACCUAGGAAUCUGCCUGAUAGUGGGGGAUAACGUUCGGAAACGGACGCUAAUACCGCAUACGUCCUACGGGAGAAAGCAGGGGACCUUCGGGCCUUGCGCUAUCAGAUGAGCCUAGGUCGGAUUAGCUAGUUGGUGAGGUAAUGGCUCACCAAGGCUACGAUCCGUAACUGGUCUGAGAGGAUGAUCAGUCACACUGGAACUGAGACACGGUCCAGACUCCUACGGGAGGCAGCAGUGGGGAAUAUUGGACAAUGGGCGAAAGCCUGAUCCAGCCAUGCCGCGUGUGUGAAGAAGGUCUUCGGAUUGUAAAGCACUUUAAGUUGGGAGGAAGGGCAGUAAAUUAAUACUUUGCUGCUUUGACGUUACCGACAGAAUAAGCACCGGCUAACUCUGUGCCAGCAGCCGCGGUAAUACAGAGGGUGCAAGCGUUAAUCGGAAUUACUGGGCGUAAAGCGCGCGUAGGUGGUUUGUUAAGUUGAGUGUGAAAUCCCCGGGCUCAACCUGGGAACUGCAUCCAAAACUGGCAAGCUAGAGUAUGGUAGAGGGUAGUGGAAUUUCCUGUGUAGCGGU